rnacentral:rRNA from 1 species
GCUCCUACGGGAGGCAGCAGUGGGGGAUAUUGCACAAUGGGGGAAACCCUGAUGCAGCGACGCCGCGUGAGCGAUGAAGUAUUUCGGUAUGUAAAGCUCUAUCAGCAGGGAAGAAAAUGACGGUACCUGACUAAGAAGCCCCGGCUAACUACGUGCCAGCAGCCGCGGUAAUACGUAGGGAGCAAGCGUUAUCCGGAUUUAUUGGGUGUAAAGGGUGCGUAGACGGGAAAACAAGUUGGUUGUGAAAUCCCUCGGCUUAACUGAGGAACUGCAACCAAAACUAUUUUUCUUGAGUGCUGGAGAGG